AUUGAACGCUGGCGGCAGGCCUAACACAUGCAAGUCGAGCGGAUGAAGGGAGCUUGCUCCUGGAUUCAGCGGCGGACGGGUGAGUAAUGCCUAGGAAUCUGCCUGGUAGUGGGGGAUAACGUCCGGAAACGGGCGCUAAUACCGCAUACGUCCUGAGGGAGAAAGUGGGGGAUCUUCGGACCUCACGCUAUCAGAUGAGCCUAGGUCGGAUUAGCUAGUUGGUGGGUUAAAGGCCUACCAAGGCGGCGAUCCGUAACUGGGCUGAGAGGAUGAUCAGUCACACUGGAACUGAGACACGGUCCAGACUCCUACGGGAGGCAGCAGUGGGGAAUAUUGGACAAUGGGCGGAAGCCUGAUCCAGCCAUGCCGCGUGUGUGAAGAAGGUCUUCGGAUUGUAAAGCACUUUAAGGUGGGAGGAAGGGCAGUAAGUUAAUACCUUGCUGUUUUGACGUUACCAACAGAAUAAGCACCGGCUAACUUCGUG
rnacentral:rRNA from 1 species